AUUCAGGGACCCAAGCGGAGCCGCAGAAGUUGGAGAGGGAAGGAGCCAGGAGCCAGGAUCAGGAUGCAGGUGUCCCCUGCUACUUGCUACUUCUUGUCUCCUUGUUAAGAGAACCUGACUGACCAUUCAUCAUCGAAGUAAACGCUCAAGCAUACAGCCAUAUUAUACAUCAGUGUCUGAUCAGUUCAUUCAUCAUUGAUCCCAAACAUGGGGGGACUGGCCAUAGACCCUGCAGGGAAAUUUCCCGGUGGGCCAAUGCACAGAUGACCACCCAAACCCUUUUGGCUACCAGCCAGUCCCCAAAUGCAUGAACGGAAGAAGAGAGAAAGAAAGAAAUAAAAAACGUGGGGGAAGGGAAUAAUCCUAAUUCUAUCGUAUUUACUAUCAUCCCACUGGUGUGUACAUUGUUGUUAUUAAGUUAUAUUUAAAUGAUACAACCCAUUUACAGUGGAGGAAACACUCUGCAUUACUUACUUUACCUAAAUUCUGUGCUAGAAAAUAAAGU